UUUGUUUACUCUUUCAAUAGACUUCUGAUAAAUCUCGUUCAUCAGCAUCAAGAGAUAACGAUGGGUUUGAAAUGGUUACUGGAAAUACGAGACGAGGGAAGAAAAAAGUGAAAAAAUCACAAAAAGUUGAUCCAAGUAUUUUAGGUUUUUCUGUGAAUGCUGCUUCUGACAGAGUGAAUAUGGGUGAAAUACAGACAGCCGAUGACUGAGCAUGGUUGCCUGAAAUCUUUUUAACUCAGGAUAAUAAUACUGUAUAUUAUUUACUUACAUUUACCUUCUCUUUUAUCGAUAAUAUUUUGAAUUUUAUUUUGAAGUGGCAAGGUUGCUUUGCAUCCCUACACCUAUCUUAUCUUAUUACUAGUAGCUUGUUCCUAAAUACAAAAAGUUAGAUCUCAAAAGUUUUAUCAAUUGUUAAAUUUCGUGACUAGUUUUAGUAAUAUUUAGAUAGGAUGUAUAAAUUUGUUCGAGCUCAAAAAUGCCCAAGUCACUACAUUUUCGGCUCUUGCGCUUGUUUUUAAUUGGGUAGAGGUAUGAAUGAAAAUUCUUUCAGUUAUUUGUGAAGUAUGCAUAUCCAAAGAAUUCAGUCAACAAAAUUCACACUGUAUCAAAUAGUGUGCCUUGAGAAUUUGUGUAACUUUUUUCCAAGCUGUACAGUUUUGAAAAAAAAAUUUCAAGAAAGCGUAAUUUAUUAAGGAUUCAAAUAACUGUUUAUUUUAUUCAAAUUGAAAUUGGCCUUACGAUCCUUCAUGAUUUUUUGCACUACGAUGUCAUUUGGGAUACUCAAAACUUGAAAGAGUUAAAGAACAAUCUCUUUUUUUAAACCACUGCUCUACCAUAUUUGAUUACAGGGAAGCUUUUCAUUUUAUAUAAAUGUAUGUUUCGGAGUGAAGUAGAUCAUUUCAAUAUCUCAGUCAUUCCUAGCAAUAAUAUAAAUGACGAGCUAAUAGUAUCUAAUAGACCUAGUCCGAAUAAUUUUACAUUUGAAAUAUUUGAAUUUAUAGCAAUUUAAUAUUCAAACUAAUUUAAUUUUGAAGGUUUUUGCUUGUAAAUUUUGAUUAGUCUUUUUGCAUUUUGCAUUACCCCCUUGCAACUAGAUCUCAAAUGAAUGCAAGACUUCUUGCAAAUAUAUGAACCAUACAGGCAUAUUGUGAUUUGGGUAAAAUCUCUUUAAAUUUUUUAAUGUCAACUAAGCUUAUCUUGGUGUUUGGACUUACGAAAUUGUUUAAAAGUCUAGGAUGGUUGGGAAAAGGUUCUUGCACGAACCACCUCUACCUCCACUGUUUUCAGUGAAGUAAUCUUUCUCGAUUGCUUGAAUUGAAUUUUAGUAUUUCGGAGAUACAAAUAUUUAAUGCUAUCAAUAUGUAAUAUGAAGGGCAUAAAUUUUCAAGCUUGAACAUCUCUAUUGAGUGGGCCGUACUGUUCUUUUGAUUUCUCUCACCUUUUUUGAAGGUGAUUUAUUGUUUCACUGUUUUUUCAUUAUCAAGUUUUCAUUGUUCUGCUCUAGAGAUAAGAGUAGUCAUAUUUCAAGAUUCAAAUAUUAAAAAUAUAACUGGUUUCUAGAAUAUCAAAGUCCAAAUAUGUAUUCUUCUAACUCAUCUUAGCUAUAAAAAGCAAAGAAUUUGGAUAGUAUUCUCUUCUAGUUGUAUAGUAAGCUCAUUCAUAAAAAAUGGUUUGUUCAUAUAUCGCUUUUGACCGACUUAUAUUUGUAUAAGGUAUUAUUUGUAAAAAGAAUUUUCUUAACCUGCCCUGUAUUAGAAGACACCAGCAUUGAGUUCUUAUAUAUGUAUAAUGAAUGAUCAGUUGAAGAGUCAAAAACUUUAAAAUUUGCAUUUAACAGAAUUAUCUAACAGAAACGUCCCUUAGUCACCGAAGUUUAUGUAUUUCAAAAUGCGCCUUAUUUUAUUUCUGUUUUUGCUAUUGUCGAAUUUUUCCUAGCGCUAUUUAUUGCUAUUAAAAUUGUCCUAUUUAUUUUCAUUAAAUGAAUAUUUCUUUUCUUAAAAACUAAGUUUUUGCUUCGUGGUAUCUUCUGAUUUUGCGAAAUUAAAACAAGGUGGUGUAUGGUUUCAUAAAAUACCCCGAUUUGCU